UAGCAUACUCAUUUGACGUUAGCUGCAGAAGAAGCACCGGCUAACUCCGUGCCAGCAGCCGCGGUAAUACGGAGGGUGCGAGCGUUAAUCGGAAUUACUGGGCGUAAAGCGCAUGCAGGUGGUUUGUUAAGUCAGAUGUGAAAGACCCGGGGCGUCAACCUCGGAAUUGUCAUUUGAAACUGGCAAACUAGAGUACUGUAGAGGGGGUAGAAUUUCAGGUGUAGCGGUGAAAUGCGUAGAGAUCUGAAGGAAUACCGGUGGCGAAGGCGGCCCCCUGGACAGAUACUGACACUCAGAUGCGAAAGCGUGGGGAGCAAACAGGAUUAGAUACCCUGGUAG
rnacentral:rRNA from 1 species